rnacentral:rRNA from 1 species
AUGAACGCUGGCGGCGUGCUUAACACAUGCAAGUCGAACGAAGCACUUUAUUUGAUUUCCUUCGGGACUGAUUAUUUUGUGACUGAGUGGCGGACGGGUGAGUAACGCGUGGGUAACCUGCCUUGUACAGGGGGAUAACAGUUGGAAACGGCUGCUAAUACCGCAUAAGCGCACAGCAUCGCAUGAUGCAGUGUGAAAAACUCCGGUGGUAUAAGAUGGACCCGCGUCGGAUUAGCUAGUUGGUGAGGUAACGGCCCACCAAGGCGACGAUCCAUAGCCGACCUGAGAGGGUGACCGGCCACAUUGGGACUGAGACACGGCCCAAACUCCUACGGGAGGCAGCAGUGGGGAAUAUUGCACAAUGGGCGAAAGCCUGAUGCAGCGACGCCGCGUGAGCGAAGAAGUAUUUCGGUAUGUAAAGCUCUAUCAGCAGGGAAGAUAAUGACGGUACCUGACUAAGAAGCACCGGCUAAAUACGUG